rnacentral:tRNA from 1 species
CCGGCGAUAACUUAUAUAAUAGUCCUCAGCUUACACCUGACACAAGCUCAUCACUGAGCUCGCCAGA